GAUGAACGCUGGCGGCGUGCCUAAUACAUGCAAGUCGAGCGAACGGACGAGAAGCUUGCUUCUCUGAUGUUAGCGGCGGACGGGUGAGUAACACGUGGAUAACCUACCUAUAAGACUGGGAUAACUUCGGGAAACCGGAGCUAAUACCGGAUAAUAUUUUGAACCGCAUGGUUCAAAAGUGAAAGACGGUCUUGCUGUCACUUAUAGAUGGAUCCGCGCUGCAUUAGCUAGUUGGUAAGGUAACGGCUUACCAAGGCAACGAUGCAUAGCCGACCUGAGAGGGUGAUCGGCCACACUGGAACUGAGACACGGUCCAGACUCCUACGGGAGGCAGCAGUAGGGAAUCUUCCGCAAAGGGCGAAAGCCCGACGGAGCAACGCCGCGUGAGUGAUGAAGGUCUUCGGAUCGUAAAACUCUGUUAUUAGGGAAGAACAUAUGUGUAAGUAACUGUGCACAUCUUGACGGUACCUAAUCAGAAAGCCGCGGCUAACUACGUG
rnacentral:rRNA from 1 species